UGGCACAUGCCUGUAGUCCCAGCUACUUGAAAGGCUGAGGCAGGAGAAUCGCUUGAACCUGAGAGAUGGAGGUUGCAGUGAGCGGAGAUCGCGCCGCUGCACUCCAGCCUGGGCAACAAGAGCGAAACUCCAUCUCAAAACAAAACAAAAAAACAAAAACAAAACACAACAACAACAAAUGUGUUUUCUCACCUUGCAAUAUUGAUAACCUUUUUUGUUGUGAUGAGAAGUUCCAGUUCCGUUUAGUGGUAAUGUGACAGUGGGCAUUACCGGUGUAUUCGUUAGGAUACUGGUUUGGCUACUUUAAUGAAGAGGAAAAAAAAAGGCUUUAAAUAAGAUGAAAGUUCCUCUCUUAUGUGAAGGUCUGAGCUAGUAGGCAGACCAGGAGAGACAGGUGGCUCUGUCCAUGAGGUUAAUGUACUUCUGGUAUGCUGCCCUUUCCCACAUGGACAAAACUGGUUUGCCAUGACCACGUUCAUGCUCCAGAUCAGAGGAAAAAGGGAAGACAAGAGAGGAGCAUGCAUUUUCCUUUUAGGAGUGUAGCCUGGGAGAUGUAAACUCACAUCUGCUUCCAUGCCAUUGGUCAAAACUUCGUCCCAUGGUCACUCCUAACUACAAGUUAGCCUGGAAAAUACACUUUUUUACCAAGGGAGCCACUGCCUAGCUAAAACUUUUGGGGAAGGAGCAGUUCUGUUAAUGAAGUGAAGCGUGGGGAGAUUGCUGUUGUACCGUUGUCUUGUUCCUAAACUGAUGACAUAUAUAACCUACCAAGUAAAAGAAGUUUCAUAGAUUUAAGGUUUUUCUCCCAAUUAAAAAAUAAAUUUAUGACCUGGCAUUCAUAUGCAAAGAAAUAUAAAUAGGCCAGCGUGCCUGGCCUGAGGUUAAGUAAUUUACCUAAAGUUAUACAACCAGUAAGUAGAAACACUAGGCUUCGACGCCUAUGAUCUCUCCACUACAUAGCAUUGCCUCUCAAUCACUAUUCUCUUCAAUGAUGAUAGCACAGUGUAACAGACAAGUGCUAGUCUAGAGGAGUUCAGGGUAUGAUUGCUUCUUUCCUAAAACUUCAACUCAAUACCCUAGGAGACUUCUUUGGAAAAUUAAAUUCUGAAUUCAUUAAUAGAAAUUCAUUUUACAUUAGAUCUUUUGGGAAAACCUGUUUUAUAAAUUUAGGAUUGCCACAAGGCAGGUAGGUAGAAAGUCGAUACGGAAUUUGAAAGUACAGCUGCAUAAUACCAAGACAACUCUGAAGUCGAAGGAAAAUGCUAUUUAGUCUUACAUUCCUGUUUUAAACAUGUAUUUAUACUUAAGAAUGAACAUAUCCUUUAUUCUAGUCUUACAAUUUCAUUAAAGUUGAACUGAUGUAGGCUUUGUAAAUCUCAAAAAAGUUUGCCUGAAAUGAUAUGUAUAAAUGAUCUCUGAUAUUUCUACCUGUUGGGACUUUGAAUAUAGUCAGUAAAUUAGCUAAAAAUGGGAACAAGUCUUUUGAUGGAAAAAAGGAAAUAAAAGAACUUGCAAUGAAAAAAUAUGUUGACUGGACUACAUAAAAAAAAUUUCUUUCUCGGAAACUGCUCUCUUUCUUUGUAAUUUUACUAAUUGCUGGGUCAUACCAAUAAGGUCAAUCAGAAAAAGAGA
rnacentral:lncRNA from 10 species